UGGCGACCGGCGCACGGGUGCGUAACGCGUAUGCAACCUACCUGUAACAGGGGGAUAACACUGAGAAAUCGGUACUAAUACCGCAUAACACUAUGAGAGGCAUCUCUUGUGGUUGAAAGUUUCGGCGGUUACAGAUGGGCAUGCGUUGUACUAGCUGGUUGGUAAGGUAACGGCUUACCAAGGCGACGAUACAUAGGGGGACUGAGAGGUUAACCCCCCACAUUGGUACUGAGACACGGACCAAACUCCUACGGAAGGCAGCAG
rnacentral:rRNA from 1 species